rnacentral:rRNA from 1 species
GCGAUCAUACCAGCACUAAUGCACCGGAUCCCAUCAGAACUCCGCAGUUAAGCGUGCUUGGGCGAGAGUAGUACUAGGAUGGGUGACCUCCUGGGAAGUCCUUGUGUUGCACCCC